rnacentral:rRNA from 1 species
AACGAACGCUGGCGGCAGGCCUAACACAUGCAAGUCGAGCGAGACCUUCGGGUCUAGCGGCGGACGGGUGAGUAACGCGUGGGAACGUGCCCUUUUCUACGGAAUAGCCUCGGGAAACUGAGCGUAAUACCGUAUACGCCCUUUGGGGGAAAGAUUAUCGGAGAAGGAUCGGCCCGCGUUGGAUUAGGUAGUUGGUGGGGUAAUGGCCUACCAAGCCUACGAUCCAUAGCUGGUUUGAGAGGAUGAUCAGCCACACUGGGACUGAGACACGGCCCAGACUCCUACGGGAGGCAGCAGUGGGGAAUCUUAGACAAUGGGGGCAACCCUGAUCUAGCCAUGCCGCGUGAGUGAUGAAGGCCUUAGGGUUGUAAAGCUCUUUCAGCUGGGAAGAUAAUGACGGUACCAGCAGAAGAAGCCCCGGCUAACUCCGUG